UAUUGGGCAAUGGGCGCAAGCCUGACCCAGCAACGCCGCGUGAAGGAAGAAGGCUUUCGGGUUGUAAACUUCUUUUAAGAGGGAAGAGCAGAAGACGGUACCUCUUGAAUAAGCCACGGCUAACUACGUGCCAGCAGCCGCGGUAAUACGUAGGUGGCAAGCGUUGUCCGGAUUUACUGGGUGUAAAGGGCGUGCAGCCGGGAAGACAAGUCAGAUGUGAAAUCCCGCGGCUCAACCGCGGAACUGCAUUUGAAACUGUUUUUCUUGAGUACCGGAGAGGUCAUCGGAAUUCCUUGUGUAGCGGUGAAAUGCGUAGAUAUAAGGAAGAACACCAGUGGCGAAGGCGGAUGACUGGACGGCAGCUGACGAUGAGGCGCGAAAGCGUGGGGAGCAAACAGG
rnacentral:rRNA from 1 species